rnacentral:tRNA from 1 species
GCCUGGGUGGCUUAGUGGGUUGAGCAUCUGACUUCGGCUCAGGUCCUGAUCUCACAGUUCGUGGGUUCGAGCCCUGCAUCAGGCU